CAUGACCCCAGAUCAGACGGGACCACCCGCUGAG
rnacentral:rRNA from 1 species